CCGAUUUGUGAGGUCGUCAGAGGUUGUGAACCCGAGGAAUUGCAAAGAAAACGGAAAUUCCUGAGCAAUUGGGAUUGAGAUUUUUCAAUUCAUUUUAUUUCCAAUAGGUCUUGUAGAUCAGCUAGCCCAACAUCUUUAUUUUCCAUAUAUUGUGGAAAUCUAUUUCAUUUAUUGAAUACAUAAUUAUUUUGCAUCGGACCAGUCCCGGAGGGUGGAGAGGAUCGAACUGAAACACUGGCUCUUCCUGGGUCUCCAGCCUGCCAGCCUUUGGCUGGAACUACAGCCUUCAUUCUCUUGGUUCUCAAGCCUUCAAACUUGAACUGAAACGACCAUCAGCUCUCCAGCUUGCAGACUCAAUCUGCAGAUCUCAGGACCUGUCAGCCUCCAUUAUCAUGGUGAGCCAAUUCCUUAUUCUUUCUCCCUCUCUCUCGUUUGCUCUUUCUUGCUCUCUCCAUAUAUAUCCUCUCUCCAUAUAUAUCUGUUUCUCUGAAGAACUCUAACAUAUAUUUAGUAAACAUAUAUUUGCUAACAUAUAUUAAUAAUAAAAAAAACCCCAAAACAAAAAAGGACAUUCUGUCACAUAACCACAACAUAAUUGUCAAAUUCUGGGAAUUAACACCAAUACAGUACUAUAAUCUACAGAUCUUACUCAAAACUUGUGAAUUGUCCCAGUAAAUGUCCUUUGUAUAAAAUGAAAAAAAAUUCUGGGUCAGUAUCAAAUCUAGGUUCAUAUGCUAUAUUCAAUUGUUAUGUAUUUUUGGUUUUCAUUAAUUUGAAAUCCUUUCUUACUCUUUGUCUUUCAUGACUUUGACAUAUUUGAGGAGUACAGACCAUUUAAUUUGUUGACUAUCCCUCAAUUUGGGUUUAUUUAAUGUUUCCCUCUGAUUCAGAUUUAGGAUAUACAUUUUUUGGCAGGAAUACUGCAGAAGUGAUAUUGAGUCCUUCUCACUGAACCAUAUAGUGGCAUGUACUUAGAUUUAUCCUAUUGUUAGUGAUAAUUCUGAAAAAUUGAUUAAGGUGGUGUCUCUCAGGUUCCUCCAUUGUAAGAUUAUUCUUUUUCCAUUUGUGGUUUAGGAGAUACUUUUAGUCUUUGUAAUGUUCUGUUUCUCCUUAAGCUUUUGUCUACUAAUUUUAGCAUCUGAGAAGUAUAUCUGAAGCAAGAGUUACUGAAGAUGAAAUGAGGAGGGGAUAUAUGGGGAAGUGGGUGAGGGGAGUGAAAUCAUCUGGGAAAAGGUAUAUAGUGAAAAAAGAAUCAGAUUUUCUAUUAGAAAAUCACUGGCUAGUGUGUGAAGAAUAUAUCAGGGGAGUGGGGAGAAUGGAAGUAAGGAGAAGAGUAGAAAAGCCUUUGUCAGUAGUCUGGUGACCGGUAGUCUGAGUGAAGGCAGGAGAUGGGCUAGAGAGAAGUAAAUGGAUUAGCAUGCUGUUAAGGAGAUGGAAUCUAUAGGACUUGUUUUUGGUUAGGGCCUUGUAAUUUGCUAAUCCAGUGACAGUGGUGGUGAUGUUAGGAGGCUGUAGUAGAGAAGGUCUUGCUGUCGAGGCGACAUUUAAACUGAGAUAUGAAUGACUAGCGAGAACUAACCAUAUGGAAAGAGAGAUGUGGCCAGUGGGAAUGUGUUCACUACAUUCCAGAUGUGUUAUGCCAAGCCCAUUGUUGGCAUACUUGGGUGUUCAAUAAAAAUGUAUUGGAUGGAGUUCCCGUCGUGCUGCAGCAGAAAUGAAUCUGACUAGGAACCAUGAGGUUUCAGGUUCGAUCCCUGGCCUCACUCAGUGGGUCAAGGAUCUGGAGUUGCCAUGAGCUGUGGUGUAGGUCACAGACGCAGCUCCAAUAUGAUAUUGCUGCAGCUGUGGUGUAGGCCAGCAGCUGUAAACUGCAGCUCCGAUUGGAACCCUAGCCUGGGAACCUCCUUGUGCCGUGGGUGUGUCCCUAAAAAAAAAAAAAAGUAUUGGAUGGAUAAGUGAACUAGAGUAUGAAUAGAGAGGGCCAACAUCAUUAUUAUUCCCACUAUUAUUAUUGCUGUUGCAAAAAUAAAUGAAAGCUUUGUAAAUCGCGAGUUCCAUAGGGCAAACUCAGUGUCUUUGUUUCUAAAAAAAAUAUUGUCAUAACAAUAGCUACUAUUUAGUGAAGGUUUCUCAUGGACAGAUUGAGACUCUUAGAGGCUUUAAGCACUUAGAGAUUAUGGUGUAAUUAAAAAACAAUAAACACUAAUCUGUAAUGUGAGGAUUAAGAUACCCAACAAAGUGUCCUCUUGUGGUGCAUCAGGUUAGGGAUCUGGCACAGUCACCGAAAUGGCUGGGGUCGCUGCUGUGGUGUGGGUUUGACCUCUGGCCUGGGAACUUCUGUAUGCUGUGGGCAUGGUCAAAAAAACAAAAACAAAAAAAGAAUGCCCAAAAAAGUAUUCAUCCUUUUUCCUAUGAUGAUUACCUCAGUAUUUAUUCAUUAAAAAAUUAAUUUGUGCUUAUUGAUGUAUACUUUACACACAAGAAAUAUACAAUUCUUAAAUGUACAGCUUACAUUUACAUGCGAGUACACCCAUAUCAAGACACAGAAAAUUUCUAGCACCCAGAGGAGUCAUUACCAGCCUGCUGCAGGUGAUCAUUCUAACCUUUAUUUAGCACCAUAGAUUAGUGUUACCUGUUUUUUGAACUUCUUAUAAAUAGAAUCACAUAGUAUGAAUACAUUUGUGUUUCUCUUUGCUCAACAUUGUCUAUGAGAUUCAUCCAUGUGUGUGGCAGUAAUUUGUUAAUUUUUAUUGCUGUGGGGUAUUGCAGUAUAGGAAUAUACUACAUUCUUGUACAUGCUUUUUGGAUGUAAACAUUUUGUCUGGUGUUUAUCCAGGAGUGGAAUUGCUAGGUCAUAGGGUAAACACAGUGUUUAUUUCUGAAAUGGCAAAUUCAUUUGAAGAAUUUUUGAGAUAUCCCUGCUUUGUUGGUGCCAGGUACUAUUCUAAAGGGUUUACAUGUCUAAACUUUUAAAAUUCUUGCAACAAGUCCAGGAAGUAGCUGUUGUUAUUACUCUUGAUUUAUCAUUGAGGAAGCAGAGACCCUUAGAGGUUAGGCAGUUUGCUCAUGGUCACAGAUCUGGUAAAAAAAAAAAAAAAA
rnacentral:lncRNA from 1 species